GACGCCAUCCUUCAGGAGCAUUAUUUACUAGAAGAGGUAGUUGAACAUAUAUACCGUUGACACCAAUCCAUGCACCAAGACCAAACAUUAGUGCAAACAGGUCAACCAGCAACCUUCUGUUGCUUAAUCUUUGACUUAACAUUUUUGGUGCUUUUUCAUGUAUUAACAGUGGAUCUACAUAGGUUGACCGACCUUGUCGGUAAGUUUUAUCCUGUUCUUUCGCCGUUUUUCUUUUUUGUUGAAAUAAAAAUUGGCAAAUGAUACACCUUAAACAAGGUAAUGCGGUAGGCAGUAAAAACGUAUGUCAAACGUUCCUUCCUUAUAUUCACUAUUCUUCGAAUUGUCUUACGCAACGACAGUCUAAUUAAAAUAUGUGUCAAAAGGAAAAAAGUGUAUUUUCUUUGAUAUAUCAGCUAUCUAGAUAAUUAUUCAAUACUGCUUCGGUGUUGCAACACAGCACUUGUAGUUGGUGUUUCUUCUUUCCACGUAGGCACUUUACGGGUUUAUUCAUCUGGCUCAAACACGUUCCGUAUUUAUUUAACAGCGUUUCAAGACAUUUUUCUGCCGUUUUCUUGCGUCAAACAUAACCUAUCAAACGUUACGGGACAUAAGAUAACCCUCAACGAAUUCAACGAAUUCCGUGGACGCGCAUGUACGUUUGAAAUUCGCGGCUGCGUGUACUAGAUUAACGGGAAACCGUUAGAAACAACAUGAAACUACGACACGACGACAACGUACAUGCAAAUUGUAUGACGGUUGCCACACAAUUGCCGUUUCCGAUGAUUAAUCGUGACUCGGAACUGUUUCAUCACACGGAUGAAAAGAGGGGGUCUGUCGUUUGCGUUAAGUAGGUGCGUUACAUCGUGCGUAAAAAGUUUACGAACAUACAUCAAUCGAAAAAGAGUCGUCACGAGGGUUAGAAGCUUGAAAAAGGAAACACCGGACUCCCUCUGGUCGUAGGUGCCAUUAAUUACCGUCAAGGAAGGAACGCAUUUGUAGCAUCGUCGAAUCAUGAUUGAUCUUCUUUCGCAACGUCGAGUCGUUUAUCAUCGAAGUUUGCGGCGAGGCUACUGCCUUUCCCGUUUCUCUUUCGACUGACGAUAAAAUAAUGGCGGUCGGGCGAUACGUCACCGGAAGCGGCGGCGCUCGUACACGAAAGAGGAAGUCCUCGUGUCGAUAAGAAAGAACGUGUAUGCCCGAACCGGCGUCAAGAACACGGAGAAAACAUACUUUGCGAUAAAAUUCGCCGCGAUUCAAAUGAUCACGAAGUGGUAAAUCGUGUCUCGGACGAUCGAACUAACGUGGGCGGACGUCACCGUGAAAAUAGCUAAAGGGACCGUUUUAUUGUUUCAUGGUGUCGCCGUCUGCCAGCGCGCAUAUGAUAUUACAUAUUAUCUUGUAAACCGUUGAAUUUCGUUACUUUUUCUAUUUUUUUGUUCGUCCUCUUUCUCUCUUUUUUUGAUAGAAACAUUCGAUGGGAGUGAUGGACCGGCUUCGAUGAUUCGAUCGGAAUGCCAUCGAUCGGUUAUCAUCGUUCGCCAAGCGUCGGAUUAUGGAAUUUCUCCCGAACACGAUCGAAGCUAGAAGAAGCGUGAAUAGAAGAAUCUCUUCGCGCUGUUAAUUAACACACUCGCAGCCGGCAAUUCUGUCUCGUUCCGCGAAGGAUGUAAGAAGACCCGGUGUUACGUCAACGGCUGCGAAUGUGUUCGCCAUUCAAGUCGCUCGAGGAAUGCAGAAGUUAUGUAAAAUCGCAACGGGAAAGGAAAUGGCGGAGCGAGCGUCUGUUUCGCGACCGAAUAUUCUAUCCACUUUAUGAUAUGAAUUCUGCAGGGCUGCUCCCCCCGUUCCACCCGUUCGCUGUAUGCCGAUAGUUAUGCCCUCCAUAUUUCGGAUCUCGAUUUUAAGGAAAAACCGAUAACCCGGAGCCGGAGCGGCGAUAUUAACGUCCGUCUCCCUCGAACCCUGAAAAGAGUUACAGACGCGGAAUAUCGAUGGACAGAAAUUAAUUAUGCGACGUCUGGAGUGGGGGAUAGCAAUAUCGGGCCUGGCCCGUAGAAUCAGGUCUGGGUUAGAGGCCAGAUAUUUACAUAGCCGAACAAAACCCUUUCGUACUUUUAUCCGGCCGGAUCGAAGCGUUUUAACAUCGCACGGCGCUGUUUAAACGUCUGCAGCCCCCGAAAUUAUUUAGCAACUUUGUUUGACUGACAACGAAAACUUGAAACCGCGAACUAUCGGCUAGCGAAUCGAGUCUAAUGUCUCUUGAACCAUCGAAUGACGAUGUUUAGAAAGAUCGGCUCGUUUAGAAGUAUUUCAAAGGCAUAUCUAAAAGGAUCGAUGAGUAACGGGUGCGACUGGACUUUGGCAUGGCCUCUCGCGCAGUCGUCAGAGACGUCUGCCCUUCGAGGGUUAACACGAUUCGGAACAGUUCUUCGCGAUUUCAAGUGAUCGUGGUAAUAAUCAAUUACCUCGAAGGCCAAUCUGCUACGAGAGGCUGACGUAAGUAAAUGGGAUCGCGUGGCGGUUGUCGUUUCGUCUCCCUCCCGUAUAAAUCUCCGCGUGGUUGCGAGGCAGCGGGAAUGCUCGAGCGAUAAGACGCGGGAGGAGAAGCUGGAUCGGCAAGAUAAGGGGAAAUGGACGAAAGAUGGGAUCAGAUAGGACACCGGGAUACAGGACUCCUUGACCCGACUGGCAUGGCGAUCCGUCUGAUAAAUCCCGAACGUGUCCAUUCCGCUUCGUGUUCUGCGUUCCUAGGCGACGUUUGCCCACGCUCGGCCCUCGUGAGAGUGAAUUUAAUUGACUGAAGUGCCGAGCCGAAUCGCGGGCACGAGGAUCGCGAACGCGCGACCUCCUUAACUCGCCGGCACAACACAUGGAAGCAGAGACGCGUUUCAUUUCGGUCCAAUUCUGGCCGCGUUCGUUUGUCAUCUCGAGAGCGCCCACGGUUAGCUACGUUCGAUCCCGCAUGAAUUUUGAUUACGGGAGUGUAAUGGUGUUGCGCGGAGAUCCGGAACCGAAUCCCACCUAUCAACAUCGCGACGAGACUCCGAGCGGAACUCCGUGUGGAUCGUCGCGCUGACAGACUUUCAAUUGUUUCUUCCUUGAUCGGAUUGGAUGCGAUUGUCAGAGCUGCUGUCACGCCUGCCGCAAAGCGUAUCGAUAGAACAUUUCUGGGAGUUUUGAAAUCGUGAGGCGGAUGGUUGUUCGUCGGACUGACGGGGGCUUGGGUGCGGGCAUGGUAACACUUCCGUCUUGCUCGCGGAGGAACGGCGCGGAAAGAAAACCGAGCUUGGCGGGACGCUGUCGCGGAUGGAUGGGUGUCAUCAGCUUCCAGCAUCGAAUGCUUGCAGCCAGCCACCGCGGGACUCGACGAGUCUCGCGUGAUACAGGUGCGCACGAAUCACCUGCGGGCACACGUGUGCCGUACACGACGAAGACGACGACGACGACGACGACUUAUGGUGGUCAAUUAAACCACCGCGUACACGGUUCUGGACUGACGGUGCCGUAUCGAUCGUUAGCUACCGAUGUGGCGGACCUGCACACUGGCGUCGCACGUAUUGCGCCCGUACACGUGUCGCAGUGUGUGGCGUCGCUCGUGAGUACGAUUAGAGAGAAACGGAGAAAGGUAACGCUAGAAGGACCGCUCUCUCGGAACGGGAACGGAGCCUUUAACGGGACGCCAUGUUGGAAUCUCUGAAACGCGUUGGAGGACCGUUGAGAGGAUACUCCCGAGUACUUCGACCCUUUCAGUUAAGAUGCUUGUCGCACUGUCGCACUCAAUCAUUUCCGAGACUUCUUCUACUCGUGUCCUGCAUUUUAAAUCGCGAGUCCGAUUCGUUCGUAACGAACAUCAAUUGUAGAUGAAGCAACUUAUACGCUCGCGUAAUCGGUCUUAACGACCUUCCCUUAAAAUAUACUUCUACGAGGCUAGAAGGAAUCCUUUGUUGUCGGUUGCGAAAGGAUAAAUGUCAAAGAUUCCGGCAAUGUUUCCAGUAUUCGAGUCGAUUCGUCUCCGUGAACAGGGCCACGCAGUCAUUCGGAAAGGGUUUCGCGAUUGCAUCGGCACGUUGCAUCGCGGUGAUCGAUACCGGGAGGAGGAUGGGCUCGAGUUGUAGAAAUCUCACAGUGUCGAAUGUCGGAAUUGAGUUGUACAGUUGCUUCUCGAAACGAGACAAAGAUUGAUUUUGUUAUUUUCAGGUAAACGCGCGCGCGCAGUUAGCGUACGAGACGCGGACCAGCGGUUCCUGAACUUACCUUCGCUCGAAUCACUUCACGGCGAAUCGAUUCAGCGGGGAAACGGGGGAACGUAAACGUGGAGAGCCGCGUGUAUACACCUCUAAAUAAAACAUUCUUGGAGAGCUCGAGCUUCUCGAAGAUUAGACAAGAUAGGAUCCUCUCGCGAACAGCUUCUUCGAGAUCGAAGUGGGAAAGGGUCCCUCGAAUACUAAGAAAACAAGAUGCAGAGGAAUUCGGGAGCAGCUGGAGGAUCGAGAAACCAGGAAAUGGGAUGCGGGAUUUUUCGAAGAAGUUCUGAAGAUUCUUCGAGGGGCUCUCGGGAAGCUGCGGGUCAAGGUUCGCGAGACGUUCAGGAGCCUCUGGUACAGAUUCGUGUCCCGAUUUCGCUUCGACGAAAUGAAGUGUUAAUUGGUGCGCUUCCGUCGGGCGAACGAGUCAGGGGAAAAAAGAGAAUCUCGACGGGCGGUCCGUACGGUAGCCAGACAGCGAGACUAAAGUUAACAUCGAAACGUCGAUCCCGGAGUGCUCGGCGGUAUGGGACGAGCAGGAAAUUAGGUGACAAGCAUCGCGACCCUAAGGUUCAAAGCGCAAUAUCGUUCCGAGGCCCUGCGCGUGUUCACACGGCGGAGAACGUCGUCUGGUUCUCGCCGGGUAAAACAAGUGAAGCUACCUUCGACGAGCAAUAAAUUGGCUGGCUCUUCGAUCUAGGUCUUACACGUGACGCGCCGUUCGUGUCUCUAUGGUCUGCACGGGGGAUAUUUAUUAAUUUCGUUGUAUCCGACCGCGUCUAUUUCGUUCCUUUGAAACUUCCAUCUCAAGACAGGGGUAGUAUCACGAACAGGCUAUCCUGGACUUUAUGUAAUUAUGAUAGAGUUCUUUAGCCUCAAUUCAAACUCGAUACUGCGAAUAAUGCUUCGCAACAGGCGUUGCUAAAGUUAAUAGCGAUACUUUCCAACAGCUAUUGAACGCAUGUUCAUUUCAAUGUAAUUCAUUAUUUACGUUCCCGUAAGUUUCAUCGUGUACGUUUUGUUUCAAGGGCGUUGAAUUCGUCGUUCAUGGAAAGAAAUAUUCAUCGGGCUUCGUAAUAUGGGUAACUGUCGCUGAUUAGA